rnacentral:rRNA from 1 species
AUGCCUUUUCCUCCCAAACCAUCCAAGAAAAAGGGUGAUGAGGAUUUUGAGCGCUUUGCUGAAAUGAUUAGACCUAUCUUUUUCCGUAUGCGAUUAACUGAUGUGCUCAAAACAAAUCCUUAUUCUAAGUAUAUGAAGGAUAUUAUUACUAAUAAAAAAAAGAUACCUAAAGCUGAAAUUUCCACCAUGCUUGCUAAUUACACUUUUAAGGGUGGAGUACCAAAGAAACUUGGAGAUCCCGGAAUACCUACUAUACCAUGCUCCAUUAAAGGAAAUUAUGUUAAAACUGCUUUAUGUGAUCUUGGAGCCGGUGUUAGUGUUAUGCCUCUCUCUUUAUAUCGUAGACUUGACUUGAAUAAGUUAACACCUACUGAAAUAUCUUUGCAAAUGGCUGAUAAAUCAACUGCUAUACCUGUCGGUAUUUGUGAGGAUGCGCCUGUUGUGGUUGCAAACGUUACUAUUUUAACGGACUUUAUUAUUCUUGAUAUUCCCGAGGAUGAUAGUAUGUCUAUUAUUCUUGGAAGACCUUUCCUUAAUACUGCAGGGGCUGUUAUUGAUUGCAAAAAAGGCAAUGUCACUUUUCAUGUUAAUGGCAAUGAACACACGGUACACUUUCCGAGGAAACAACCUCAAGUUUACAGUAUCAACUCUAUUGGAAAAAUUCCAUCGAUUAUAUUCGGAGGUUUUGAAUUUCCUCUCCCUACUGUCAAAAGGAAGUAUGAUAUACUCAUUGUUGGGGAUUUUCAUAUCCCCGUUGAGGUAAUUUAG